CCCCCGUGACUCUGGAAGAGGAGCCUGAGGACCAUGAGAUGGACACCAGCAAGCCCCCAGUUCCCCUCAGCCUGUGGACCACCGAGCAGACUGGAGUCCUCCUGAGGCUCUCAAAGCAUGGGCUGGGCCACGAGACCCCGAUGACCAUCCUCCCGAGUUCUUCCGUGACUCCAUCAACCGCUUCGGCACCCACCCAGCUCUGGCCUCGAAGAACGACAACAAAUGGGAGAUGUUGAACUUCACCCAGUACUAUGAGGCCUGUCGGAAGGCUGCCAGGUCCCUCAUCAAGCUGGGUCUGUAGCACUUCCACGCAGUUGGCAUCCUGGGUUUAA